CCUACGGGAGGCAGCAGUGGGGAAUCUUGCACAAUGGGCGCAAGCCUGAUGCAGCCAUACCGCGUGUACGAUGACGGUCUUCGGAUUGUAAAGUACUUUUGGCGGGGACGACGAUGACGGUACCCGCAGAAUAAGUCACGGCUAACUUCGUGCCAGCAGCCGCGGUAAUACGAAGGUGGCGAAUGUUGUUCGGAUUUACUGGGCGUAAAGCGUCCGCAGGUGGUCUGUUAAGUCAGGUGUGAAAGCCCCGCGCUCAACGUGGGAAUUGCAUUUGAAACUGACGGACUUGAAGGCGAGAGAGGUGGGCGGAAUUACCGGUGUAGAAGUGAAAUUCGUAGAUAUCGGUAGGAACACCCAUGGCGAAGGCAGCUCACUGGCUCGCUCUUGACACUCAUGGACGACAGCGUGGGGAUCAAACAGGAUUAGAUACCCUGGUAGUCCACGCCGUAAACGAUGCAUGCUCGCUGUCGGGUUCGCUACAGAACUCGGUGGCUCAGCUAACGCGGUAAGCAUGCCGCCUGGGGAGUACGGCCGCAAGGUUAAAACUCAAAUGAAUUGACGG
rnacentral:rRNA from 1 species